rnacentral:rRNA from 1 species
UACGAAGGGGGCUAGCGUUGCUCGGAAUCACUGGGCGUAAAGGGUGCGUAGGCGGGUCUUUAAGUCAGGGGUGAAAUCCUGGAGCUCAACUCCAGAACUGCCUUUGAUGACUGAAGAUCUUGAGUUCGGGAGAGGUGAGUGGAACUGCGAGUGUAGAGGUGAAAUUCGUAGAUAUUCGCAAGAACACCAGUGGCGAAGGCGGCUCACUGGCCCGAUACUGACGCUGAGGCACGAAAGCGUGGGGAGCAAACAGG